rnacentral:rRNA from 1 species
UGGGGAAUCUUGCGCAAUGGGCGAAAGCCUGACGCAGCAACGCCGCGUGCGGGAUGAAGGCUCUCGGGUUGUAAACCGCUUUCAGCAGGAACGAAAAUGACAGUACUUGCAGAAGAAGGUGCGGCCAACUAUGUGCCAGCAGCCGCGGUGAUACAUAGGCACCAAGCGUUGUCCGGAUUUAUUGGGCGUAAAGAGCUCGUAGGCGGUUCGGUAAGUCGGGUGUGAAAACUUUGGGCUCAACCCAAAGCCUGCAUCCGAUACUGCUGUGACUAGAGUUCGGUAGGGGAGCGGGGAAUUCCUAGUGUAGCGGUGAAAUGCGCAGAUAUUAGGAGGAACACCGGUGGCGAAGGCGCCGCUCUGGGCCGAUACUGACGCUGAGGAGCGAAAGCGUGGGUAGCAAACAGGAUUAGAUACCCUAGUAGUCCCUGAGCGGGCUGGCAAGGCGCAU